GUCAGGUGAAUAUGGCAGAUGAAGCAAUGC
rnacentral:piRNA from 2 species